UGAGGAAUAUUGGUCAAUGGGCGCGAGCCUGAACCAGCCAAGUCGCGUGAGGGACGACGGUCCUACGGAUUGUAAACCUCUUUAGGCGGGGAGUAAUGUGCUCUACGAGUAGAGUAGUGAGAGUACCCGCAGAAUAAGCAUCGGCUAACUCCGUGCCAGCAGCCGCGGUAAUACGGAAGGUCCAGGCGUUAUCCGGAUUUAUUGGGUUUAAAGGGAGCGUAGGCUGUUUGUUAAGCGUGUUGUGAAAUGUAAGAGCUCAACUUUUAGAUUGCAGCGCGAACUGGCAGACUUGAGUGCGCACAACGUAGGCGGAAUUCAUGGUGUAGCGGUGAAAUGCUUAGAUAUCAUGACGAACUCCGAUUGCGAAGGCAGCUUACGGGAGCGCAACUGACGCUAAAGCUCGAAGGUGCGGGUAUCGAACAGG
rnacentral:rRNA from 1 species